GACGAACGCUGGCGGCGUGCUUAACACAUGCAAGUCGAACGAUGACGACCGAGCUUGCUCGGUCUGAUUAGUGGCGAACGGGUGAGUAACACGUGAGCAACCUGCCCUUCACUCUGGGAUAACCUCGGGAAAUCGGGGCUAAUACCGGAUAUGAGCUCCUGUCGCAUGGCGGGUGCUGGAAAGUUUUUCGGUGAAGGAUGGGCUCGCGGCCUAUCAGUUUGUUGGUGAGGUAGUGGCUCACCAAGGCGAUGACGGGUAGCCGGCCUGAGAGGGCGACCGGCCACACUGGGACUGAGACACGGCCCAGACUCCUACGGGAGGCAGCAGUGGGGAAUAUUACACAAUGGGCGAAAGCCUGAUGCAGCGACGCCGCGUGAGGGAUGACGGCCUUCGGGUUGUAAACCUCUUUCAGCAGGGAAGAAGCGAAAGUGACGGUACCUGCAGAAGAAGCGCCGGCUAACUACGUG
rnacentral:rRNA from 1 species